CAACUAAAAUCAUAUUUUCUCUGGUUCUUUCAACUUUUGCAACAGUUCCUUGAACUACUUUUCCUACUUUCCUAACUUUCCCUUCCUCUGGUUCUUUCAACUUUUGUAGCAGUUUUUUGAACUACUUUUCCUUCUUUCAUUUUUUUCGAAUAUAAGUUUGAUUUGUGAAGUAGCAGUGGAAGAGGACUUGGCCUUCUUCUUCAAAGAUACAUUUUUUUUUAACUUUGUUCCUUCAAGGUUGUGCUUGAAGCUCAAAAUUUUAGAACUUCGGGCAUUGAUCCUGAAUUUGAAGGGAAGUUGGACCAGAUGCUCAUAGGGAUGGCUACCACUGGUGAUAAAGCAUGAGCACCUUCUUUAGGUGAUGAGUAUGGUUGGCAAUUCUAGUGGUGAUGGAAGUGAUGAUGAAAGGGAAAAGAAUGAGAUUUUACAACACAUGGAAAGUUUUAAUCGAUUAUUUCAUGUUGUAUAUUCUUCUGUGUAAUUAUAUUAUGAGAAGUAUAUUGAAGCAACCAUGUAUGGAUUCAAAAUAGUCAGGCGAGACAUGAAACUAAGAGAUCCUUAACGGUCAUGAAUCAUGUUGCCUGAUUAAUUUUAAGAUAUAAAAAAUUGUAUUCACAAGUCUGUUGAGAGUUUUGGAGACAAGAUACAA